UACGUAGGGUGCAAGCGUUGCCCGGAUUUAUUGGGCGUAAAGGGCGGGCAGGCGGUCUGACAAGUCUGAUGUGAAAUCUCCGGGCUUAACUGGGAGAGGCCAUUGGAAACUGACAGGCUGGAGGGCAGUAGAGGUAGGCGGAAUUCCGGGUGGAGUGGUGAAAUGCGUAGAGAUCCGGAGGAACACCAGAGGCGAAGGCGGCCUACUGGGCUGCACCUGACGCUGAGCCGCGAAAGCCAGGGGAGCGAACGGG
rnacentral:rRNA from 1 species